rnacentral:rRNA from 1 species
UACGAAGGGGGCAAGCGUUGUCCGGAUUUAUUGGGCGUAAAGAGCGUGUAGGCGGCCAGAUAGGUCCGUUGUGAAAACUGGAGGCUUAACCUCCAGCGGUCGAUGGAAACCAUCUGGCUAGAGUCCGGAAGAGGAGAGUGGAAUUCCUGGUGUAGCGGUGAAAUGCGCAGAUAUCAGGAAGAACACCCGUGGCGAAGGCGGCUCUCUGGGACGGUACUGACGCUGAGACGCGAAAGCGUGGGGAGCGAACAGG